AUGAACGCUGGCGGCGUGCCUAAUACAUGCAAGUCGAGCGAACGGACGAGAAGCUUGCUUCUCUGAUGUUAGCGGCGGACGGGUGAGUAACACGUGGAUAACCUACCUAUAAGACUGGGAUAACUUCGGGAAACCGUAGCUAAUACCGGAUAAUAUUUUGAACCGCCUGGUUCAAAAGUGAAAGACGGUCUUGCUGUCACUUAUAGAUGGAUCCGCGCUGCAUUAGCUAGUUGGUAAGGUAACGGCUUACCAAGGCAACGAUGCAUAGCCGACCUGAGAGGGUGAUCGGCCACACUGGAACUGAGACACGGUCCAGACUCCUACGGGAGGCAGCAGUAGGGAAUCUUCCGCAAUGGGCGAAAGCCUGACGGAGCAACGCCGCGUGAGUGAUGAAGGUCUUCGGAUCGUAAAACUCUGUUAUUAGGGAAGAACAUAUGUGUAAGUAACUGUGCACAUCUUGACGGUACCUAAUCAGAAAGCCACGGCUAACUACGUG
rnacentral:rRNA from 1 species